GACGAACGCUGGCGGCGUGCCUAAUACAUGCAAGUUGAGCGCUGAAGGUUGGUACUUGUACCAACUGGAUGAGCAGCGAACGGGUGAGUAACGCGUGGGGAAUCUGCCUUUGAGCGGGGGACAACAUUUGGAAACGAAUGCUAAUACCGCAUAAAAACUUUAAACACAAGUUUUAAGUUUGAAAGAUGCAAUUGCAUCACUCAAAGAUGAUCCCGCGUUGUAUUAGCUAGUUGGUGAGGUAAAGGCUCACCAAGGCGAUGAUACAUAGCCGACCCGAGAGGGUGAUCGGCCACAUUGGGACUGAGACACGGCCCAAACUCCUACGGGAGGCAGCAGUAGGGAAUCUUCGGCAAUGGACGAAAGUCUGACCGAGCAACGCCGCGUGAGUGAAGAAGGUUUUCGGAUCGUAAAACUCUGUUGGUAGAGAAGAACGUUGGUGAGAGUGGAAAGCUCAUCAAGGGACGGUACUACCCAGAAAGGGACGGCUAACUACGUG
rnacentral:rRNA from 1 species